UCGUACAACAGAGGCACAAGGGCUGUCGCUGAUCUUUAAAAGGUUGUGCACGCCCAAGUGCUCUCACACACAUCCAUCUCACCCCUUGUGCAUCACCGCGUGGGUCCCCCCUUACGGGAGGGUUCACGUCUUCACAUAAAACUUAAUGCAGUAUAGAAUGUUUUCUUUUUUGUUUGCGGUCACACGCAAUAAAUA
rnacentral:misc_RNA from 1 species